AGUGGGCCAUGUCCAAAGGAUGUGGCCACCUGUUUUCUGUGGCUAGUGAACUAUGGUUCACCUCCUUCAUCUCCAGGUCUCAGACAACCCAGGAGAUGAACCGUCAGAGUCUCCGUAUGAAAGUGCAGAUGAAACACAGACUGAAGCGUCCGUCUCAUCUAAGAAAUCUGAAAGAGGAAUGGCUGCCAAAAAGGAGUACGUGUGUCAGCUGUGUGAGAAGACAGGCAGUCUCUUACUGUGUGAAGGCCCCUGUUGUGGAGCAUUCCACUUAGCCUGCCUUGGACUUUCCCAGAGACCAGAAGGAAGAUUCACCUGCACUGAAUGUGCCUCAG
rnacentral:lncRNA from 1 species